rnacentral:lncRNA from 10 species
ACACUUUACCUAAGAGGCCCUGGAUAUCCAUCUUGGGGGCUCCUGACUCCCUCAGCCCUUACUCUUUCAGCUCUCUAGUAGGUCUCUUGUCAGAAAAAUACCAGCUUUUCAUUUCAAUCAAAUUACUGUGAUGGCCCAGAAGGUGGUAAAAUAGUAUAAGGGUUCUCUUUGUCAGGAACCUUGAAAAAGCUGUAUCUUUUAUUCGGUUGAAAUUUCUACUAACCUGAAGACAUGAAAGAAGAAAGGAACAAUAAGUCCCAAGGAAUGUUUGAAGGUACAUUUAAUUAUUGCGUGGAUGCAACGACAUGAAGAAGAACAUGUCAUUUAGGGAAAUGUAUCAAAUAGCAUUGACCGGGUGACUAAGACUCCCUAUUGGCUCUAAUGUCUUUGGAAAAAUCAAAGGGAAUAUGAAGCAAGUGUUUCAAUUUGGAAAAUGAAUGCUACCACAUGGGUGGGAGUGAGAUACGGAGAGAGGGAAAAGAUGGAGUCUCACUCUGUCACCCAGGCUGCAGUGCAGUGGUUUGAUCUUAGCUCACUGCAGCCUCUGCCUCCUGGGAAGCGAU